AUGUGAUCGUCUCUCGCAUAUCAAUAAGCGGAGGAAAAGAAACUAACAAGGAUUCCCCUAGUAACGGCGAGUGAAGCGGGAAGAGCUCAAAUUUGAAAUCUUAAAGGGUUUCCCUUUACGAAUUGUAGUUUAAAGAAGUGUUUUCUGUUGAGGUUUUGGUAAAAGUUCUUUGGAAUAGGACAUCAUAGAGGGUGAGAAUCCCGUAUUUGACCUUUACUUUCAACUUUGUGAUACACUUUCAAAGAGUCGGAUUGUUUGGGAAUGCAGUCCAAAAUGGGUGGUAAAUUUCAUCUAAAGCUAAAUAUUGGCGAGAGACCGAUAGCGAACAAGUACCGUGAGGGAAAGAUGAAAAGAACUUUGAAGAGAGAGUUAAACAGUACGUGAAAUUGUCAAAAGGGAAGCGUUUAACACCAGUGUUGUUUUUCUGAAAAUCAAUUAAAGAACUGUUUAUGCUAAGUUGUUUAGACUUUAUCAGCUAACUGUUUAGUUUUGAGCUUUUCUUUAAUGCACUUUUCAGUUAACAAGUCAACAUCAAUUUCUUUUGCUGUAAAAAAGCUUGAGGAAGGUGGCUUGAGAUUCGUCUUAAGUGUUUAUAGCCUCUUGCCUAUGCAGUCGGAGAGAUUGAGGUCUGCAGCGUAGAUCCUUCGGGGCUAAAUGCAUUUGUGCUAAGUUAUAGCAUUUUAUAGACAACUUGUUGACUAUGAUUUGUCUUGUAGCUUACUCGCUUAUGUUAUUUUACCUACGCUUAGGAUGUUGAGCGCAUGUCUCUCUCU
rnacentral:rRNA from 1 species